GGGGAAUAUUGCACAAUGGGCGCAAGCCUGAUGCAGCCAUGCCGCGUGUAUGAAGAAGGCCUUCGGGUUGUAAAGUACUUUCAGCGAGGAGGAAGGGGAUGUGGUUAAUAACCGCAUUCAUUGACGUUACUCGCAGAAGAAGCACCGGCUAACUCCGUGCCAGCAGCCGCGGUAAUACGGAGGGUGCAAGCGUUAAUCGGAAUUACUGGGCGUAAAGCGCACGCAGGCGGUCUGUCAAGUCGGAUGUGAAAUCCCCGGGCUCAACCUGGGAACUGCAUUCGAAACUGGCAGGCUAGAGUCUUGUAGAGGGGGGUAGAAUUCCAGGUGUAGCGGUGAAAUGCGUAGAGAUCUGGAGGAAUACCGGUGGCGAAGGCGGCCCCCUGGACAAAGACUGACGCUCAGGUGCGAAAGCGUGGGGAGCAAAC
rnacentral:rRNA from 1 species